CACAGUAGCUCAGUGGUAGAGCUAUCGGCUGUUAACCGAUCGGUCGUAGGUUCGAGUCCUACCUGUG
rnacentral:tRNA from 3 species